GACAGAGGCCUCAAGCGUUUAGGCGGAAUCACUGGGCUUAAAGCGUGUGUAGGCGGAUCGUUAAGUGUCUUGUGAAAUCCCACGGCUCACCCGUGGAACUGCUGGGCAUACUGGCGAUCUUGGGCCAACUAGGGGCAACUGGAACAAGCGGUGGAGCGGUGAAAUGCGUAGAUAUCGCUUGGAACGCCAAAGGUGAAAACAGGUUGCUGGGGCUGUGCUGACGCUGAGACACGAAAGCCAGGGGGGCGAACGGG
rnacentral:rRNA from 1 species